CUCCCUAUCUGUUUUCACGAUGGAACCCCGUGAAUCCCAUUUUCAAAGUCCCAUCGUCACAAAGCCUCCAUUUUUUACACCACAGCAAUCGUCGUCUCCUUCAUCGGCGCCGGCGCCAUCCUCGGCAAUUCGGCUGUGGAAACCGGCGGCUCAGCGAAACGUCAGGAACCAAUGGUCUAAGCUGCUUGCCCUUUUCCAGGACUGGUGCUCUUCGUCCUCUUCCGCCCGCUCACACGCCAUCUCCCUCGUCAACUCCUUUCUGUCUCAAAAGUACAUGAAUGGGAUGGACUUGGGUGUGCUAAGUGACAUGCCAAAUAUUCGGACGAAAGCUUGUCAGAAAUUGUUCAAGCAACAGGAGCUUUACAGGUGUAAGCUCUUAUCGUGUUACAAAGAUAUGGUAGCUAUUGUGACUCGUAUGGUCAACUCUAGUAGAUCCAUGAGGUGUUAUUUGAAAGGUUCAAGAACUAGUCCAUUAGCUCAGUUCUCUUGCUCCUCUCAGAAUGACAACGAUAGUGGUGAUGCUGGUGGAAUACCAGUUUUCACAUUUUGGUCAAUUGCUGCUUUUGAAGAACUAGCAUCAGAAGUUGUACAAAUGUUCACGUCAGAACUAAAUUUAAAGAGGUUGCUCGUGUUGGAGUUGCUGUCCAUCUCUGAUGAAAGAGUUUUACAAGAGAUUGAGUUGCAUUGGUCGGAUGAAUUCUAUGAGGGAGAAUUUGAUGAUCUAAGCACGUGUAACUUGUACUUAGAAGAAGCUUGUGAACCAGUGUUCCCAAGUCUUAGGAGCAGCCGAUCUAGUACUUCCUCAAUGCAAUCUAAACACCAGGCAGAUAGUGAUGUUCUACAGGUACUGGGGUCUGUUUGACUUGAAGAUUUGUAGCAGGUUUAUCUGACAACCUGGCUUGCAGAGGUGAAUAUAGAUAGAUGCAGGUUGGAUGAAAUAUUUGCUAUUGUAGGAGAGGAAAUGCACGUUAACCUUUCUUGAAGCCGCUGGUUCCUCCCUAUGGAGUCUUGGACAGUGAUAAUGUCUCGAAUCUGCAAGUGAAGCUAAUGCUAAUGUUUGCUCAUAAUACCUGUUGAAAUGGAGAUGCUGACCCUGAAAAAUAAUAGUAAAUGCUUCAUAUGAUAUCAAUAAUGUAAUCACCGGUUAUAUUGAGCACCUUUUUCUUACUUAAAAUGAGAAAAGAAUUAACUUAUUUUGAUACAUAUGUUGGGAUAUUUUGAAACUUAGGAACUUAUUUCAUUUUUUACAAAUAAAAUUAAUAUGUAUCUUUACACUUUAUUUUAUACUAAUAAAUAAUGUUUUUAGGCUUAGAACUAGGGAAGCACAACACAAGGGGGUUGGUCUUCCUUUCAUGUAUUCAAUCAUGACCAUUUGAGGUCUGCCAAAUGUAUUGUGCCCACUAAUUGAUUAUUGUUACGUAGAAAUACUACUUUUA